rnacentral:rRNA from 1 species
CGGGACACGUGGUAUCCUGUCUGAAUAUGGGGGGACCAUCCUCCAAGGCUAAAUACUCCUGACUGACCGAUAGUGAACCAGUACCGUGAGGGAAAGGCGAAAAGAACCCCGGCGAGGGGAGUGAAAAAGAACCUGAAACCGUGUACGUACAAGCAGUGGGAGCACGCUUAGGCGUGUGACUGCGUACCUUUUGUAUAAUGGGUCAGCGACUUAUAUUCUGUAGCAAGGUUAACCGAAUAGGGGAGCCGAAGGGAAACCGAGUCUUAACUGGGCGUUAAGUUGCAGGGUAUAGACCCGAAACCCGGUGAUCUAGCCAUGGGCAGGUUGAAGGUUGGGUAACACUAACUGGAGGACCGAACCGACUAAUGUUGAAAAAUUAGCGGAUGACUUGUGGCUGGGGGUGAAAGGCCAAUCAAACCGGGAGAUAGCUGGUUCUCCCCGAAAGCUAUUUAGGUAGCGCCUCGUGAAUUCAUCUCCGGGGGUAGAGCACUGUUUCGGCAAGGGGGUCAUCCCGACUUACCAACCCGAUGCAAACUGCGAAUACCGGAGAAUGUUAUCACGGGAGACACACGGCGGGUGCUAACGUCCGUCGUGAAGAGGGAAACAACCCAGACCGCCAGCUAAGGUCCCAAAGUCAUGGUUAAGUGGGAAACGAUGUGGGAAGGCCCAGACAGCCAGGAUGUUGGCUUAGAAGCAGCCAUCAUUUAAAGAAAGCGUAAUAGCUCACUGGUCGAGUCGGCCUGCGCGGAAGAUGUAACGGGGCUAAACCAUGCACCGAAGCUGCGGCAGCGACACUAUGUGUUGUUGGGUAGGGGAGCGUUCUGUAAGCCUGUGAAGGUGUACUGUGAGGUAUGCUGGAGGUAUCAGAAGUGCGAAUGCUGACAUAAGUAACGAUAAAGCGGGUGAAAAGCCCGCUCGCCGGAAGACCAAGGGUUCCUGUCCAACGUUAAUCGGGGCAGGGUGAGUCGACCCCUAAGGCGAGGCCGAAAGGCGUAGUCGAUGGGAAACAGGUUAAUAUUCCUGUACUUGGUGUUACUGCGAAGGGGGGACGGAGAAGGCUAUGUUGGCCGGGCGACGGUUGUCCCGGUU